rnacentral:rRNA from 1 species
GAUGAACGCUGGCGGCGUGCCUAAUACAUGCAAGUCGAGCGAACAGACGAGGAGCUUGCUCCUCUGACGUUAGCGGCGGACGGGUGAGUAACACGUGGAUAACCUACCUAUAAGACUGGGAUAACUUCGGGAAACCGGAGCUAAUACCGGAUAAUAUAUUGAACCGCAUGGUUCAAUAGUGAAAGACGGUUUUGCUGUCACUUAUAGAUGGAUCCGCGCCGCAUUAGCUAGUUGGUAAGGUAACGGCUUACCAAGGCAACGAUGCGUAGCCGACCUGAGAGGGUGAUCGGCCAGAUUGGAACUGAGACACGGUCCAGACUCCUACGGGAGGCAGCAGUAGGGAAUCUUCCGCACUGGGCGAAAGCCUGACGGAGCAACGCCGCGUGAGUGAUGAAGGUCUUCGGAUCGUAAAACUCUGUUAUUAGGGAAGAAAAAAUGUGUAAGUAACUAUGCACGUCUUGACGGUACCUAAUCAGAAAGCCACGGCUAACUACGUG